AGCGAACGCUGGCGGCGUGCCUAACACAUGCAAGUCGAGGGAGAACGGGAGGCUUCGGCUUCCCUAGUAAACCGGCGCACGGGUGAGUAACACGUAGGUAACCUACCCCGAGAUCGGGAUAACCCAUCGAAAGAUGAGCUAAUACCGGAUAUGACCACGGGACCCACGGGUUCUGCGGUGAAAGAUGGCCUCUGCAUGCAAGCUAUCACUCGAGGAUGGGCCUGCGCGCCAUUAGCUAGUUGGUGAGGUAACGGCUCACCAAGGCGACGAUGGCUAGUUGGUCUGAGAGGAUGACCAGCCACACUGGGACUGAGGCACGGCCCAGACUCCUACGGG
rnacentral:rRNA from 1 species